ensembl:lncRNA
GGGUUCUAGUCUGUCGACUGUGUGUACAUAGGGGUUCUAGUCUGUCGACUGUGUGUGUGUGUGGGUUCUAGUCUGUCGACUGUGUGUGUGUGUGUGUGUUCUAGUCUGUCGUGUGUGUACAUAGGGGUUCUAGUCUGUCGACUGUGUUCUGUCAUAGGGGUUCUAGUCUGUCGACUGUGUGUGUGUGUGUGUACAUAGGGGUUCUAGUCUGUCGACUGUGUGUGUGUGUAGGGGUUCUAGUCUGUGUGUGUGUGUGUGUACAUAGGGGUUCUAGUCUGUCGACUGUGUGUGUGUGUGUACUGUGUCUGUGUGUGUGUGUGUACAUAGGGGUUCUAGUCUGUCGACUGUGUGUGUGUGUGUGUGUACAUAGGGGUUCUAGUCUGUCGACUGUGUGUGUGUGUGUACAUAGGGGUUCUAGUCUGUCGACUGUGUGUGUGUGUACAUAGGGGUUCUAGUCUGUCGACUGUGUGUGUGUGUACAUAGGGGUUCUAGUCUGUCGACUGUGUGUGUGUGUACAUAGGGGUUCUAGUCUGUCGACUGUGUGUGUGUG